CCUCGCAGCUGAAUAGAAGCUCCAACAUGUGGUCCGUGCCAGUCUGGUUGCUCAUUGCAACCAUCAUCUCAAAAAGUAUGGUCAAUAGCGCAACGGAGGUUCGUGUUGGUUUGAAGGAGUGUAGGAACGGUAACCGGGUCUGUGUUGCGAUGGACGAUUGUCAGAUUCGUGUCACGUAUUCGGCUACCGACGGCUGCCCAUCGGAUAAGACCGAGUGUUGUCCGAAGGAAAACGUUCUAAUUGAUUAUUACAUUCUGCCCAAAACAAAAUCUACGUAUGCUACAACUCAUCCAACAAAGCCACACGAAGCUCAACCAUCUGAACAUAACGCAUCUUGGCUGGCAAUAAUUUUUGAUGGAAAUAGGCGCCACUGUUGCCACGGAGCACUCAUUAGUAAUGGUUUCGUGCUGACAUCUGGUACUUAUUGGAAUAAAUGUAAUUCUCAACCAAACUUAUGGACUGUUCGACUUGGUUUACGACACUCAAACUCGUCAAACAGUUCGAUAGAUGUGAAAGUGCAUAGUGGUGUAAAGCACUAUGAAUUUAAUAGUAGAAACAGAAGCACCAAUAUUGCUGUGCUGCAACUGAAUCAAACUAUUAGCUUUAGCCAGCAUAUUAAGUAAAUAAGUCCUGCAACGGAGCUGGAAUCGAUUGCCAUCAUCGACCACAAUUUACUAUACACAGGAUGGGAUGGUAGUUUUGCAAAAACAUCAGCAUCCAACGAACAGCCAGACAUGUUGAAAAUGAUCGAACUGAAGCAAAUUAAUGAAACUUAUUGUAGGUCCACGAUAUUGGCAAAUCAUGGAAAAACUACUUUGCCUAAUGAUAAAUAUUUUUGCGUUAUGUCCAAUAACGCCAGUGAGACUUGUGAUUCGAAUAGCAGUAGAUGCAUUGUGGAGGAUCAUAACUUGUUGUUUGCUGAUGCGGGCGGGCCGGUGGUAGCUAAGAUGCCUGACAAUCGCUACGUUCUGUACGGUAUAGUUGCAAGAUACUACAAUGACAAUAAGGCUCAUGUUCCUGCACUUGUCACGAAUGUAUUCGAUUAUAAAUCGUGGAUUGACGAGAAAGUAAACAAUGAAUCUAACGAGUAACAUUGCUGGCUGAAACAUUUUGUACCGUAUUUCAUGAAUAACAAUAAAAACGAAUCAACAAGAUUAUUCUGCAAACG